rnacentral:rRNA from 1 species
GACGAACGCUGGCGGCGUGCUUAACACAUGCAAGUCGAACGGAAAGGCCUCUUUCGGGGGGUACUCGAGUGGCGAACGGGUGAGUAACACGUGAGUAACCUGCCCUUGACUUUGGGAUAACUUCAGGAAACUGGGGCUAAUACCGGAUAGGAGCUCCUGCUGCAUGGUGGGGGUUGGAAAGUUUCGGCGGUUGGGGAUGGACUCGCGGCUUAUCAGCUUGUUGGUGGGGUAGUGGCUUACCAAGGCUUUGACGGGUAGACGGCCUGAGAGGGUGACCGGCCACAUUGGGACUGAGAUACGGCCCAGACUCCUACGGGAGGCAGCAGUGGGGAAUAUUGCACAAUGGGUGGAAGCCUGAUGCAGCAACGCCGUGUGCGGGAUGACGGCCUUCGGGUUGUAAACCGCUUUCGCUCAUGACGAAGCUUUGUGUGACGGUAGUGGGUAAAGAAGCACCGGCUAACUACGUG